UACGUAGGGCGCAAGCGUUUGUCCGGAAUUAUUGGGCGUAAAGAGCUCGUAGGCGGCUUGUCACGUCGGAUGUGAAAGCCCGGGGCUUAACCCCGGGUCUGCAUUCGAUACGGGCAGGCUAGAGUUCGGUAGGGGAGAUCGGAAUUCCUGGUGUAGCGGUGGAAAUGACGCAGAUAUCAGGAGGAACACCGGUGGCGAAGGCGGUUCUCUGGGCAUUACCUGACGCUGGAGGAGCGAAAGCAUGGGGAGCGAACAGG
rnacentral:rRNA from 1 species